rnacentral:pre_miRNA from 1 species
UCUUCAUUUCAUGUACUCUCUCGCUGACCAGAGAGGCGAGAGAGUGUAUGAAAUGAAGAGA